GAUGAACGCUGGCGGCGUGCUUAACACAUGCAAGUCGAACGAUGAUCUCCAGCUUGCUGGGGGGAUUAGUGGCGAACGGGUGAGUAACACGUGAGUAACCUGCCCUUGACUCUGGGAUAAGCCUGGGAAACUGGGUCUAAUACCGGAUACGACCGCUCCACGCAUGUGGUGGUGGUGGAAAGCUUUUGCGGUUUUGGAUGGACUCGCGGCCUAUCAGCUUGUUGGUGGGGUAAUGGCCUACCAAGGCGACGACGGGUAGCCGGCCUGAGAGGGUGACCGGCCACACUGGGACUGAGACACGGCCCAGACUCCUACGGGAGGCAGCAGUGGGGAAUAUUGCACAAUGGGCGGAAGCCUGAUGCAGCGACGCCGCGUGAGGGAUGACGGCCUUCGGGUUGUAAACCUCUUUCAGUAGGGAAGAAGCGUAAGUGACGGUACCUGCAGAAGAAGCGCCGGCUAACUACGUGC
rnacentral:rRNA from 1 species